rnacentral:rRNA from 1 species
CGUGAAAGUCCUUCGGGACGAGUAAAGUGGCGCACGGGUGAGUAACGCGUGGAUAAUCUACCCUUAAGAUGGGGAUAACGGCUGGAAACGGUCGCUAAUACCGAAUACGCUCCCGAUUUUAUCGUUGGGGGGAAAGAUGGCCUCUGCUUGCAAGCUAUCGCUUAAGGAUGAGUCCGCGUCCCAUUAGCUAGUUGGCGGGGUAACGGCCCACCAAGGCGACGAUGGGUAGCCGGUCUGAGAGGAUGACCGGCCACACUGGAACUGGAACACGGUCCAGACUCCUACGGGAGGCAGCAGUGGGGAAUAUUGCGCAAUGGGCGAAAGCCUGACGCAGCGACGCCGCGUGAGGGAUGAAGGUUCUCGGAUCGUAAACCUCUGUCAGGGGGGAAGAAACCCCCUCGUGUGAAUAAUGCGAGGGCUUGACGGUACCCCCAAAGGAAGCACCGGCUAACUCCGUGCCAGCAGCCGCGGUAAUACGGAGGGUGCAAGCGUUAAUCGGAAUCACUGGGCGUAAAGCGCACGUAGGCGGCUUGGUAAGUCAGGGGUGAAAUCCCACAGCCCAACUGUGGAACUGCCUUUGAUACUGCCAGGCUUGAGUACCGGAGAGGGUGGCGGAAUUCCAGGUGUAGGAGUGAAAUCCGUAGAUAUCUGGAGGAACACCGGUGGCGAAGGCGGCCACCUGGACGGUAACUGACGCUGAGGUGCGAAAGCGUGGGUAGCAAACAGGAUUAGAUACCCUGGUAGUCCACGCUGUAAACGAUGGGUGCUGGGUGCUGGGAUGUAUGUCUCGGUGCCGUAGCUAACGCGAUAAGCACCCCGCCUGGGGAGUACGGUCGCAAGGCUGAAACUCAAAGAAAUUGACGGGGGCCCGCACAAGCGGUGGAGUAUGUGGUUUAAUUCGAUGCAACGCCUGUCUCUUAU